rnacentral:snRNA from 1 species
GUGCUUGCUUUGACAGCACAUAUACUAAAAAAUUGGAAUGAUACAGAGAAGAUUAGCAUGGCCACUGUGCAAGAAUGACGUGCAAAUUCAUGAAGCAUUCCAUUAAAAA